CCCUUAGAUGUUCUGGGCUGCACGCGCGCUACACUGAUGCGUUCAACGAGUUUAUGACCUUGCCCGAUAGGGUUGGGUAAUCUUUUUAAAUCGCAUCGUGAUGGGGAUAGAUUAUUGCAAUUAUUAAUCUUCAACGAGGAAUUCCUAGUAGUGGCCAAUCAUCAGUUGGUCGCGAUUACGUCCCUGCCCUUUGUACACACCGCCCGUCGCUCCUACCGAUUGAGCAAUCCGGUGAAUAUUUUGGACAGUCGAGGGCAUCGGUUCGCCGGCGUCCUUGUACUGGAAAUCAAGUGAACCUUAUUGCUUAGAGGAAGGAGAAGUCGUAACA
rnacentral:rRNA from 1 species